CAAGUAGUCCCUCCGUCCGGAAUUACUUGUCAUCAAAAUGGAUGUGUCUAGAACUAAAAUACAUCUAGAUACAUCCAUUUCAAUGACAAGUAUUUUCGGACGGAGGGAGUACAAG
rfam:Triticum aestivum genome assembly, contig: Triticum_aestivum_CS42_TGACv1_scaffold_452194_5DL